UACAGAGGGUGCGAGCGUUAAUCGGAAUUACUGGGCGUAAAGCGUGCGUAGACGGUUAUUUAAGUCGGGUGUGAAAGCCCCGGGCUCAACCUGGGAAUUGCAUUCGAGACUGAAUAGCUAGGGUGCGGUAGAGGGAAGCGGAAUUUCCGGUGUAGCGGUGAAAUGCGUAGAUAUCAGGAGGAACACCAGUGGCGAAGGCGGUGCUCUGGGCCGGAACUGACGCUGAGGAGCGAAAGCGUGGGGAGCAAACAGG
rnacentral:rRNA from 1 species